rnacentral:lncRNA from 10 species
AUGGGCUGAAGGCUUUUGAAAUCAAAUCACAGUAGAAUUGCCUGAAGGAAGUGAGAGUGUAUAGCCUGAUGCCGAGAAGAAAAAGCCUGGGGGUAACAUACAGAGAGGCCCAGCAAGCAGAUUUGAGAGAUUGUGCUCUGUACUUGUGCAAUCUAAUUGUGUCCUGUUAGAAAGGAGAUGUCCUGGGAAACUCAGAUUAAGAGGACAGAAGCCCAAAACUAAGCUGUACAGUCAAAAACGUCUAGCUGUUUCUUGUAGCAGAUUGUGCCAGUAAGCGUCACUGAAGAGUAAUUUCAAGGGCUGGUGAAAAUAUAAGAUAAAACACUGAUUACAGGAUGACAGGUUUUCUCUGCUCAACAAUCUUUGAAUUAUUCAGAAAACUUUGCUUCCAGAGUGGUAUAUUAAUAAUACACCUAAGCAAAUAUUUUGUUGCUUAAGCUGAAAGGCAUUUUCUCCUUGAAGGGAAAGCUUCUGAAGAUGGCAGUAGAUUAACAUACCCAAAUAUCUUGAUAUCCUCAAUAGGAAGAAAGUCAAGUUAAGUUUCCUGAUCUAAAGAGUCCAGGAAAUUAAAUUCUCUCUAUGUUCUGUUUCUGAAGUACUGCAGAAACUGCUCAAGAUGGAAGGAUACCAGAGAAGAAAAACAUUGCUCAAUGUUUAAAACUUAUUUUAUUUUUUGAAAAAAGAAACAUAAUAACUUAGUCCAAAAUCAAACAACAUAAAAAGUAUACAUUGAAAAGUUUAUCCUCACCCUAUCUACUUCCAGCAAUUUCCUUCCAAUUCUAUCUGUAGUAUUUUUUCAUUUUUCUUCUUGUUUUUUUUAAAUAAAAUAAAAUAAAAUAAUAAUGCACACUA